rnacentral:rRNA from 1 species
GACGAACGCUGGCGGCAUGCCUAACACAUGCAAGUCGAACGAGACCUUCGGAUCUAGUGGCGCACGGGUGCGUAACGCGUGGGAUCUGCCCUUGGGUUCGGAAUAACUCGCCGAAAGGCGUGCUAAUACCGGAUGAUGUCGUAAGACCAAAGAUUUAUCGCCCAGGGAUGAGCCCGCGUAAGAUUAGGUAGUUGGUGAGGUAAAGGCUCACCAAGCCGACGAUCUUUAGCUGGUCUGAGAGGAUGAUCAGCCACACUGGGACUGAGACACGGCCCAG